AGGGAAUCUUCCGCAAUGGGCGAAAGCCUGACGGAGCAACGCCGCGUGAGUGAAGAAGGAUUUCGGUUCGUAAAGCUCUGUUGUUAGGGAAGAAUGAUUGUGUAGUAACUAUACACAGUAGAGACGGUACCUAACCAGAAAGCCACGGCUAACUACGUGCCAGCAGCCGCGGUAAUACGUAGGUGGCAAGCGUUGUCCGGAAUUAUUGGGCGUAAAGCGCGCGCAGGUGGUUUAAUAAGUCUGAUGUGAAAGCCCACGGCUCAACCGUGGAGGGUCAUUGGAAACUGUUAAACUUGAGUGCAGGAGAGAAAAGUGGAAUUCCUAGUGUAGCGGUGAAAUGCGUAGAGAUUAGGAGGAACACUAGUGGCGAAGGCGGCUUUUUGGCCUGUAACUGACACUGAGGCGCGAAAGCGUGGGGAGCAAACAGGAUUAGAUACCCUGGUAGUCCACGCCGUAAACGAUGAGUGCUAAGUGUUGGUCUCAUAAGAGAUCAGUGCUGCAGCUAACGCAUUAAGCACUCCGCCUGGGGAGUACGACCGCAAGGUUG
rnacentral:rRNA from 1 species